UUAAGUUAAUAAGGGCGCACGGUGGAUGCCUUGGCACUAGAAGCCGAUGAAGGACGUGACUAACGACGAAAUGCUUUGGGGAGCUGUAAGUGAGCAAUGAUCCAGAGAUGUCCGAAUGGGGGAACCCGGCAGGUAAUGCCUGUCACUCAUUACUGUUAAGGUAAUGUAGAGGAAGACGCAGUGAACUGAAACAUCUAAGUAGCUGUAGGAAGAGAAAGCAAAAGCGAUUGCCUUAGUAGCGGCGAGCGAAACGGCAAGAGGGCAAACCGAAGAGUUUACUCUUCGGGGUUGUAGGACUGCAACGUGGACUUAAAGAUUAUAGAAGAACUACCUGGGAAGGUAGGCCAAAGAGAGUAAUAGCCUCGUAUUCGAAAUAGUCUUUAUACCUAGCAGUAUCCUGAGUACGGCGAGACACGAGAAAUCUCGUCGGAAUCUGGGAGGACCAUCUCCCAACCCUAAAUACUCUCUAGUGACCGAUAGUGAACCAGUACCGUGAGGGAAAGGUGAAAAGCACCCCGGGAGGGGAGUGAAAUAGAACCUGAAACCGUGUGCCUACAACAAGUUCGAGCCCGUUAAUGGGUGAGAGCGUGCCUUUUGUAGAAUGAACCGGCGAGUUACGAUAUGAUGCGAGGUUAAGUUGAAGAGACGGAGCCGUAGGGAAACCGAGUCUUAAUAGGGCGCAUUAGUAUCAUGUCGUAGACCCGAAACCAUGUGACCUACCCAUGAGCAGGUUGAAGGUGAGGUAAAACUCACUGGAGGACCGAACCAGGGCACGUUGAAAAGUGCUUGGAUGACUUGUGGGUAGCGGAGAAAUUCCAAACGAACUUGGAGAUAGCUGGUUCUCUCCGAAAUAGCUUUAGGGCUAGCGUCGAUGUUAAGUCUCUUGGAGGUAGAGCACUGUUUGGGUGAGGGGUCCAUCCCGGAUUACCAAUCUCAGAUAAACUCCGAAUGCCAAUGAGAUAUAAUCGGCAGUCAGACUGCGAGUGCUAAGAUCCGUAGUCGAAAGGGAAACAGCCCAGACCACCAGCUAAGGUCCCAAAAUAUAUGUUAAGUGGAAAAGGAUGUGGGGUUGCACAGACAACUAGGAUGUUAGCUUAGAAGCAGCUAUUCAUUCAAAGAGUGCGUAAUAGCUCACUAGUCGAGUGACCCUGCGCCGAAAAUGUACCGGGGCUAAAACAUAUUACCGAAGCUGUGGAUACCUUUAUAGGUAUGGUAGGAGAGCGUUCUAUGUGCGAAGAAGGUGUACCGUGAGGAGUGCUGGAGCGCAUAGAAGUGAGAAUGCCGGUAUGAGUAGCGAAAGACAGGUGAGAAUCCUGUCCACCGUAAGACUAAGGUUUCCAGGGGAAGGCUCGUCCGCCCUGGGUUAGUCGGGACCUAAGGAGAGACCGAAAGGUGUAUCCGAUGGACAACAGGUUGAUAUUCCUGUACUAGAGUAUAUAGUGAUGGAGGGACGCAGUAGGCUAACUAAACCAGACGAUUGGAAGUGUCUGGCCAAGCAGUGAGGUGUGAUAUGAGUCAAAUGCUUAUAUCUUUAACAUUGAGCUGUGAUGGGGAGCGAAGUUUAGUAGCGAAGUUAGUGAUGUCACACUGCCGAGAAAAGCUUCUAGCGUUAAUUAUACUCUACCCGUACCGCAAACCGACACAGGUAGUCGAGGCGAGUAGCCUCAGGUGAGCGAGAGAACUCUCGUUAAGGAACUCGGCAAAAUGGCCCCGUAACUUCGGGAGAAGGGGCGCUGACUGAUGGUCAGCCGCAGUGAAUAGGCCCAAGCAACUGUUUAUCAAAAACACAGCUCUCUGCUAAAUCGUAAGAUGAUGUAUAGGGGGUGACGCCUGCCCGGUGCUGGAAGGUUAAGAGGAGUGCUUAGCGUAAGCGAAGGCAUGAAUUGAAGCCCCAGUAAACGGCGGCCGUAACUAUAACGGUCCUAAGGUAGCGAAAUUCCUUGUCGGGUAAGUUCCGACCCGCACGAAAGGCGUAAUGAUUUGGGCACUGUCUCAACGAGAGACUCGGUGAAAUUUUAGUACCUGUGAAGAUGCAGGUUACCCGCGACAGGACGGAAAGACCCCAUGGAGCUUUACUGCAGUUUGAUAUUGAGUAUCUGUACCACAUGUACAGGAUAGGUAGGAGCCUAUGACCUCGGGACGCCAGUUUCGAGUGAGGCGUUGUUGGGAUACUACCCUUGUGUUAUGGCUACUCUAACCCAGAUAGGUUAUCCCUAUCGGAGACAAUGUCAGGCGGGGAGUUUGACUGGGGCGGUCGCCUCCUAAAAGGUAACGGAGGCGCCCAAAGGUUCCCUCAGAAUGGUUGGAAAUCAUUCGCAGAGUGUAAAGGUAUAAGGGAGCUUGACUGCGAGAGCUACAACUCGAGCAGGGACGAAAGUCGGGCUUAGUGAUCCGGUGGUUCCGUAUGGAAGGGCCAUCGCUCA
rnacentral:rRNA from 1 species